GCGGGUGUAGUUCAAUGGUAGAACAUCAGCUUCCCAAGCUGAAUACGAGGGUUCGAUUCCCUUCACCCGCUUCA
rnacentral:tRNA from 2 species